GGGCCCGCACAAGCGGUGGAGUAUGUGGUUUAAUUCGAAGCAACGCGCAGAACCUUACCAGCCCUUGACAUGUUAGGUUUGAUUACCAGAGAUGGUUUUCUUCAGUUCGGCUGGCCUAAACACAGGUGCUGCAUGGCUGUCGUCAGCUCGUGUCGUGAGAUGUUGGUUAAGUCCCGCAACGAGCGCAACCCUCAUCUUCUGUUGCCAGCGGUUCGGCCGGGCACUCUGGAGAAACUGCCUGCGAUGAGCAGGAGGAAGGCGGGGAUGACGUCAAGUCCUCAUGGCCCUUAUGGGCUGGGCUACACACGUACUACAAUGGCGGUGACAAUAGGGCAGCGACAGGGCGACCUGAAGCAAA
rnacentral:rRNA from 1 species